UACAGAGGUCCCGAGCGUUGUUCGGAUUCACUGGGCGUAAAGGGUGCGUAGGUGGCAUGGUAAGUUUGAUGUGAAAGCUCAGGGCUUAACCCUGAAAUGGCAUUGAAUACUACUGUGCUGGAGGUUUGGAGGGGGGACUGGAAUUCUUGGUGUAGCAGUGAAAUGCGUAGAUAUCAGGAGGAACACCAGUGGCGAAGGCGAGUCCCUGGACAACACCUGACACUGAGGCACGAAAGCUAGGGGAGCAAACAGG
rnacentral:rRNA from 1 species